UGAGGAAUAUUGGUCAAUGGGCGAGAGCCUGAACCAGCCAAGUAGCGUGCAGGACGACGGCCCUAUGGGUUGUAAACUGCUUUUAUAAGGGAAUAAAGUGAGUCUCGUGAGACUUUUUGCAUGUACCUUAUGAAUAAGGACCGGCUAAUUCCGUGCCAGCAGCCGCGGUAAUACGGAAGGUCCGGGCGUUAUCCGGAUUUAUUGGGUUUAAAGGGAGCGUAGGCCGGAGAUUAAGCGUGUUGUGAAAUGUAGUGGCUCAACCUCUGCACUGCAGCGCGAACUGGGGGCUU
rnacentral:rRNA from 1 species